rnacentral:rRNA from 1 species
GGAGUUAGCCGGUGCUUCUUCUGUGAGUGAUGUCCUUCCUGCCGGCUAUUAACCCGCAGGCCUUCUUCCUCACUGAAAGUGCUUUACAACCCGAAGGCCUUCUUCACACACGCGGCAUGGCUGGAUCAGGGUUGCCCCCAUUGUCCAAUAUUCCCCACUGCUGCCUCCCGUAGGAGUCUGGGCCGUGUCUCAGUCCCAGUGUGGCUGAUCAUCCUCUCAGACCAGCUACGGAUCGUCGCCUUGGUGAGCCGUUACCUCACCAACCAGCUAAUCCGACAUAGGCUCAUCCGAUAGCGCGAGUCCCGAAGGUCCCCCGCUUUCCCCCGUAGGGCGUAUGCGGUAUUAGCCUGGGUUUCCCCCAGGUUAUCCCCCGACUACCGGGCAGAUUCCCUAUGCAUUACUCACCCGUCCGCCGCUCGCCACCAGGGAGCAAGCUCCCCGUGCUGCCGCUCGACUUGCAUGUGUUAGGCCUGCCGCCAGCGUUCAAUCUGAGCCAGGAUCAAACUCUGA